AUCCAACAGAGUAGCCCGACAGGACACAGCAAUUUCCCUCUUAAUUUAGAACAGCAUCCUAAGAAUGGGGCUGUCUCUGAAAGGCUCAGGAGGACAGC